rnacentral:rRNA from 1 species
AACGAACGCUGGCGGCAUGCCUAACACAUGCAAGUCGAACGAUUGCCUUCGGGUGAUAGUGGCGCACGGGUGCGUAACGCGUGGGAAUCUGCCCUUAGGUUCGGAAUAACAGCUGGAAACGGCUGCUAAUACCGGAUGAUAUCGCGAGAUCAAAGAUUUAUCGCCUGAGGAUGAGCCCGCGUUGGAUUAGGUAGUUGGUGGGGUAAAGGCCUACCAAGCCGACGAUCCAUAGCUGGUCUGAGAGGAUGAUCAGCCACACUGGGACUGAGACACGGCCCAGACUCCUACGGAGGCAGCAGUGGGGAAUAUUGGACAAUGGGCGCAAGCCUGAUCCAGCAAUGCCGCGUGAGUGAUGAAGGCCCUAGGGUUGUAAAGCUCUUUUACCCGGGAAGAUAAUGACUGUACCGGGAGAAUAAGCCCCGGCUAACUCCGUG